rnacentral:rRNA from 1 species
UGUUACAAUGGGGGGUACAGAGGGCCGCUACCACGCGAGUGGAUGCCAAUCCCUAAAACCCCUCUCAGUUCGGACUGGAGUCUGCAACCCGACUCCACGAAGCUGGAUUCGCUAGUAAUCGCGCAUCAGCCACGGCGCGGUGAAUACGUUCCCGGGCCUUGUACACGCCGCCCGUCAAGCCAUGGGAGCCGGGGGUACCUGAAGUGCGUAACCGCGAGGAUCGCCCUAGGGUAAAACUGGUGACUGGGGCUAAGUCGUAACAAGGUAGC